GGCUGGGAGAGAGGGGAGGGGAGUGAGGGGGUAAUAGCAAGGGCAGUGAGAGACAGCAGGAAGGUUUGACUGGGGGGCUGAACUGCAAGUUGAGCUCAGAGUCGCUGUGUUUGUGCUUCUUGAUACAGUCCUAUCGGGAUUUUUGAGGAGUGUUCACUAUAGACAGGAGGUCCUGUUUAAAUACAGCGGCGCUAUAGACAGGAGGUCCUGUUUAAAUACAGCGGCGCUAUAGACAGGAGGCCCUGUUUAAAUACAGCGGCGCUAUAGACAGGAGGCCCUGUUUAAAUACAGCUGCGCCAUAAAUCUGAGAUUGAAUCCAGAGGACAAGUCUGCUUCUCUGCCUUACUGAGAUCAAACGUAGAAUCUGUUGAGAGGAGAGAGGAGAGGGCAGAGGGAAGAGGGGAGAAUCAGUCUGGAUACAAAUGAACCGAGAAGCACGAACACCGAGCUGUACCAUCCAUACCAUUCUUGUAUGUAUAUAUUUAUUUAUGUUAGUAUUGUGUGUGACGGCACAGUCUCUUGUAUGUGUUUGUUAGUAUUGUGUGUGUGUGUGUGUGUCUUGUUUUAAUACCAGGUUUACGUGCCUCAGUGUAACCCUGUCCUCCUUCACAGUAAAAUGUAUCAGAUGGACACUGUCUGUGUGAAUUGUAGAUCUGUAUGUUGCUGCUGCUAUGCACUGGAGGCUUGGAUUUUAAGCUAAGAGCAAGGAAGAGGGUUUGUAAAUGAUUGUAUUUGUUAUUUUAAACCACUUGUGCCUGCCUCACUGCUGCCUCUGUGUGUGUGUAUGCCCCCCCCCCCCCCAAUUCCUUUUUAAAAUCAAUUCCCAUUUCCUUAACCUUUUAAUCAAUUCCAGCACAUCAUUGUUCAAAGAUUGCAAUCGGCAAGCUUCACACAACAGCGGCGACUCGUGACUCUCUGGAGCUCGCUGCCUGUCUGCCUGUCUGCCUGUCUGUCUGUUUGUUUGUCAGUCGAUUUUUAAAAUCGGUUUCAAAUGAAAGCAGCUGCGCGAUCGCCAGUUACCACGACCUCUAAAAACAUCAACUUCCACUGGAGAAUUCAUUUUAAAAAAGGAAUGGGAUUCUUAAAGCAGGAAGCGACCCGGCACCCGCCACCCUGCGCAGACCCCGAUAAAGACCCCAGCCGCCCCCCCGAACACGCAACAGACGUGCCAUGGGAUUCAGCGCCUGUCUGGAGACGAGGAAGGACUGUUACAAACGGACACGCGUGUGUGUGUUUAUAUAGAGAGCACUUUCUGUCUUGGUUUGCAGUCUGGUACAGCGUGUAUUCCACUACUCAGAGCGGCUGUGCUGUUGUUGUUGUUAUUAUUAUUAUUAGUAGUAGUGGUAUUGCUUGCAGUGUUAAGUCAUUGUGUCUGAAUGAGUUGUUGCAGUCCUCCAUGGUCCUCCUCAUGUGACCCGUCUUCUCUGUGAAAUUGCACAGGUUUAUAUAUUUAUUUAUUUAUUGAUUGAUUUCUUGAUUGAUUUUCCUGUAGUUUUUUUUGGCUCAUUUCUCCCUCCAUACUUCAAUAAACACCACUCCUGUUUUUA